AGAUUGAACGCUGGCGGCAUGCCUAACACAUGCAAGUCGAACGGGAGUAGCAAUACUCUAGUGGCGGACGGGUGAGGAAUACGUAGGAAUUUGCCCUUAAGUGGGGGAUAACCCGGGGAAACCCGGAUUAAUACCGCAUGACCUCGAAAGAGCAAAGUGGGGGAUCGCAAGACCUCACGCUUUUGGAGAAGCCUACGUCGGAUUAGCUAGUUGGUGAGGUAAUGGCUCACCAAGGCGACGAUCCGUAACUGGUCUGAGAGGAUGAUCAGUCACACCGGAACUGAGACACGGUCCGGACUCCUACGGAAGGCAGCAGUGGGAAUAGUUGGACAAUGGGCGCAAGCCUGAUCCAGCAAUGCGCGUGUGUGAAGAGCCUUGGUAGUAAGUCACUUAAGUUAGGGAAAGAAAAACGUCGACUACUAACACAGU
rnacentral:rRNA from 1 species